UACGAAUUCACUGGAAGCUCUCAAACGAGGCUGGCAGAAGCUGAAAUUGAAGUGGUCUCUGACCUAAUUUUCUUCUGCAUGAAACAUCUGCAUCAAGGCUCUCUUUGAUGUAUUCCACUUGGCUCUGUCUACGGGAUUGUAUCACAUGGCCUCCGUGUUGCCUCCUUAUUGAAAGACAUUUCCAGCCUGUGCAAGAAAAGCUCUUGCCUUUCUCCAUAAAGGGUUGCUGCACAGACUUCGUUAAUGGUGUGCCGCUGUUCCCCACCAUCCUGGCAUUAUGAAACCCAAAGGGUCCCAGCUCGCUCCACAGCCAAUCACUGAACAGUAGUUGCUCCAGGACACAGAAGGAGCUGUUGAAAUCUUCAUUAAAUCCCCUCUGUGGGAAUAACCCACACUUACUUGGUUAUACUGACGGUUUGAUA